AUUGAACGCUGGCGGCAUGCCUAACACAUGCAAGUCGAACGGCAGCACAGUGGAGCUUGCUCCAUGGGUGGCGAGUGGCGGACGGGUGAGUAAUGCAUCGGGACCUACCUAGACGUGGGGGAUAACGUAGGGAAACUUACGCUAAUACCGCAUACGUCCUACGGGAGAAAGCAGGGGACCUUCGGGCCUUGCGCGGUUAGACGGACCGAUGUUCGAUUAGCUUGUUGGUGAGGUAAUGGCUCACCAAGGCGACGAUCGAUAGCUGGUCUGAGAGGAUGAUCAGCCACACUGGAACUGAGACACGGUCCAGACUCCUACGGGAGGCAGCAGUGGGGAAUAUUGGACAAUGGGCGCAAGCCUGAUCCAGCAAUGCCGCGUGUGUGAAGAAGGCCUUCGGGUUGUAAAGCACUUUUAUCGGGAGCGAAAUACCAUUGGUUAAUAACCGGUGGGGCUGACGGUACCCGAGGAAUAAGCACCGGCUAACUUCGUG
rnacentral:rRNA from 1 species